UCCUCACAUUAUGACAUAGAUAAGUAAGGAACAGCCAGCUGCCAGCACCGCCCCCAGGCUAACACACACACCCACUUUCUCAGGGGAGCCAGCGGUGAUCGGCUUUCAUUUUAUAUUCCCAAUAUGCACAUCCAUCUUUGCAAAAGUUUGGAUGUUGUUUGUUUUCGACGGCGAAAUGCAGCCAUGCUGCCGAGGCCGGCUCUAGGGUAACGACAUGAAAUGGGCGGCGCCCACAAGGAACCGGUGCCUUAGAGAUCGAGGCCUCUUACUUUCAGCUCGCAAGAUCCAUGUUAUCCUUGAGGGUCAACAGUGAUUGGAGCCAGAUAAAUCAGCUCGGGCUCUGCUGGGAGCCAAAAAAUCUACAGAGAAAUGUGGUGUUGGUGAUUUCUUUGAGUCAGUCCUCCUCAAAGCUCUGGUGGGUUGUAUUUAAUGUCAGCCCAACGAAGGAAGAAGCCUUGUGGGGGAGACUGAGGGAGAAAUCCACCAAGGAACAGGGGAGAAAAGAAGUAAGAUUAAGAAAAAAAAUAAA